rnacentral:rRNA from 1 species
AUUGAACGCUGGCGGCAUGCCUUACACAUGCAAGUCGAACGGCAGCACGGAGCUUGCUCUGGUGGCGAGUGGCGAACGGGUGAGUAAUAUAUCGGAACGUACCCUAGAGUGGGGGAUAACGUAGCGAAAGUUACGCUAAUACCGCAUACGAUCUAAGGAUGAAAGUGGGGGAUCGCAAGACCUCAUGCUCGUGGAGCGGCCGAUAUCUGAUUAGCUAGUUGGUAGGGUAAAAGCCUACCAAGGCAUCGAUCAGUAGCUGGUCUGAGAGGACGACCAGCCACACUGGAACUGAGACACGGUCCAGACUCCUACGGGAGGCAGCAGUGGGGAAUUUUGGACAAUGGGCGAAAGCCUGAUCCAGCAAUGCCGCGUGAGUGAAGAAGGCCUUCGGGUUGUAAAGCUCUUUUGUCAGGGAAGAAACGGUGAGAGCUAAUAUCUCUUGCUAAUGACGGUACCUGAAGAAUAAGCACCGGCUAACUACGUGCCAGCAGCCGCGGUAAUACGUAGGGUGCAAGCGUUAAUCGGAAUUACUGGGCGUAAAGCGUGCGCAGGCGGUUCUGUAAGUCUGAUGUGAAAUCCCCGGGCUCAACCUGGGAAUUGCAUUGGAGACUGCAAGGCUAGAAUCUGGCAGAGGGGGGUAGAAUUCCACGUGUAGCAGUGAAAUGCGUAGAUAUGUGGAGGAACACCGAUGGCGAAGGCAGCCCCCUGGGUCAAGAUUGACGCUCAUGCACGAAAGCGUGGGGAGCAAACAGGAUUAGAUACCCUGGUAGUCCACGCCCUAAACGAUGUCUACUAGUUGUCGGGUCUUAAUUGACUUGGUAACGCAGCUAACGCGUGAAGUAGACCGCCUGGGGAGUACGGUCGCAAGAUUAAAACUCAAAGGAAUUGACGGGGACCCGCACAAGCGGUGGAUGAUGUGGAUUAAUUCGAUGCAACGCGAAAAACCUUACCUACCCUUGACAUGGCUGGAAUCCCCGAGAGACUGGGGAGUGCUCGAAAGAGAACCAGUACACAGGUGCUGCAUGGCUGUCGUCAGCUCGUGUCGUGAGAUGUUGGGUUAAGUCCCGCAACGAGCGCAACCCUUGUCAUUAGUCGCUACGAAAGGGCACUCUAAUGAGACUGCCGGUGACAAACCGGAGGAAGGUGGGGAUGACGUCAAGUCCUCAUGGCCCUUAUGGGUAGGGCUUCACACGUCAUACAAUGGUACAUACAGAGCGCCGCCAACCCGCGAGGGGGAGCUAAUCGCAGAAAGUGUAUCGUAGUCCGGAUUGUAGUCUGCAACUCGACUGCAUGAAGUUGGAAUCGCUAGUAAUCGCGGAUCAGCAUGUCGCGGUGAAUACGUUCCCGGGUCU